GCGCCCGUAGCUCAGCUGGAUAGAGCGUCUGGCUAUGAACCAGAAGGCCGGGAGUUCGAAUCUCUCCGGGCGCACCA
rnacentral:tRNA from 1 species